UACGAAGGGUGCAAGCGUUAAUCGGAAUUGCUGGGCGUAAAGGGUGCGUAGGCGGUUCGUUAAGUCUGUCGUGAAAUCCCCGGGCUCAACCUGGGAAUGGCGAUGGAUACUGGCGAGCUAGAGUGUGUCAGAGGAUGGUGGAAUUCCCGGUGUAGCGGUGAAAUGCGUAGAGAUCGGGAGGAACAUCAGUGGCGAAGGCGGCCAUCUGGGACAACACUGACGCUGAAGCACGAAAGCGUGGGGAGCAAACAGG
rnacentral:rRNA from 1 species